GGGGGCGAAAGGAUUUCGACGGGGGUACAAGAAGUUACGGUUGCAUGCCGAGGGCUCCGCUGGCCUCGUAAAAAAGCGGAACAAAACAUAAUCGCCAACGAUUAUGAGGUAGCCCUGGCCGCCUAAUCCCGGCCAGCGUCUCCCUGGCGCCCGCCCACGGUGUCAGGAUCAGGCGUCAUUAUGUGGGAUAGCCCGUUGCUCCCCCCGCCUGGGGAGAACGCCGGGCGAAAUCUAAACCAGGCUAGCGUCUUCCUUGCCAGGCCGGGGAGGUCGGGGAGAUGCGAAACCACAUUCCCCGGAUAAGCAUGUAGAUACUGUGGCCGAAGGCUUUCGGACGCGGGUUCGAUUCCCGCCGCCUCCA
rnacentral:tmRNA from 1 species